AUUGGCUAAGACAGGGGCGAGAAUAUCAUACAAGAUACUUAAAUGAAAUAUUUUAUUCCGUAUAGGUCGAAAUCAUUGUAUUACUUAAUUAUUACUGUACUAUAUUAAAUUAAUUGGAAUGAAAUCUUUCAGAAUUUGAUUUUGAAUUAUCAACUUCGAUUUUUUUUUUCAUUUCUUCUUCGUCGCUUAAAAUUGGAAAAUAGAAGAAUUAAGUGAAUCAAAAACCCAAAGGAGGUUGAUGGCCAAGGGUAAAGAUAUCCGA
rnacentral:lncRNA from 1 species